CUAGAUCUUCUGAAAUGUGGUGAAGACCUGUCCCCAAGCCCUGGCUCACUACUGUCUACACCCGUGUUUGCACUUUGCUAUUCCUGCUCUGGAUUUCUGAUUCAGCACACUCGACUCCCUCUCUACUAGCAGGGAUGCUGGGUGCGUGGUAACCGAGAAACACCCAGGGGAUUCAGAUGCUUUCUUCAGCAAGGACCAGGAUCCAGGUGUGGAGGGAGCAGUUCCGACACAGUUGGGGCGGUUCCAAGGUCCAUGUUUGAGAAAGGUCUUCUCCAUCCCAGUAGGAAAGAGUGAGGACUCAAAGAAGGUACACAUGUGAACCUGGCCAAGCUCCUUGUUUACUGCCAUUGGCCCACACCAUGUCCAGCUGCAGCUCUGCCACCCGUCCACUCUUCCCUUCAAAUAGGUUGCAGUCAUCAACCUGGAUGUGUGAGAUCCCUUUCAUCUGCUGGCAUAACUGCUGCUGCUACUGACAUGGAGAUGCCUUCCUUAGACACAGUGAGUGUCCACCUUCUCCUCCCUUUGUCCCAAGUGCAGGGCUGCUGGGGGCUACCCUGCACUUGUUCUUGGUCAAGACGACCCAGAGGAGCCACUUCUGUCUGAGGAAAUGUUGGGGUGAUGUGGAAGACCUGAGAGACCUCGUUGCUGAGGGGCUGUAGGUACCCGUGUGGAGCCAGUGAGGAGUGGACCCUCAGUGGCCCCAUACUUGAAAAGGCCUAUUGACUGGAUACUCUAUUCUACUAUCUUGAAACACUUAACUAUUUUGUUUUAGGAGGAGACUCUACAAGUUCAUUUUGCACCAAAUCUUGCCAGUUAGGUAGCCAGUCCUACAAGGAAAGCCUGAAGACCGGAGGCAAGGCAGGGGGGCAGGGACCCAGCCCAGGGGCUGUGGUUGUAGUGACCACCUCAGGGUGUACUUGCUGCCAGCAGAAAGAGUUUGGAGGGGCAGAGUGGUGUCUGUAGUGAUAGCAGCCAGAAGUAGAAUGUUGUGAUCUCACUCGCGGAACCAAAGGGAGUCAUCACCACUGAGGUUGUGUCUCCAAAAAACUCACCAGACAUUUCCCACAUCAAGAAGUUUAGCCUGGAUUAAACCCUAGGUCAGAGGCACACAGACCUCUGAGGUCCACUCCCCUCCUCCUCUUCCACCAUCCUCUCCAAGAUGGGAGGAGCUGAGAGCAGCUGAGUGAGGACAGAGGUGGCAUGAGAACGUAGCGGGCUUUGAGGUGGCAGAGAAGCCAAAUCCCUCUCCAUACAGCUUCCAUCCCAGGCUGGGACCAGGAGCGAGGAGGAAAGAAGCCUUAACUCUAAGAGAACUUCAGGAUGUGAACAAUUACAUUGCUUGAACAAUUAGGCUGCUGAAACUGAUGUAUUCUUAUUGCUAUGGAGGGCUAGAAGACUCCUUAUCUCAGAGCAGCUUGGACCAUCAUGUGAUCCGUGGGGGUAUCACCGCAGGACCCAGAUCUGUCUACACAAAGCGGGUGGGAAAGGCUGUCGUGAGGAAAGACAGCCCUGGUUUCUCCUUGUGCCUCCAGAAUCUGCCCUUUUCACCCUUUCCCCAGUAGGAGAUCUUUGCUUGUAAGUCAUGUUAAUCAUCUGACACAGAAGCUAUCUUUCUUGGCCUUGCUUUGAAAACAAUUAACUAAAAAGUUUAAAAGCCUUCAAAGAGUUUCAUUAAUGCCAUGAAAGAAAUGGUGUGCUGAUUAAUAUUAGGAAAAAAAAAAACUUUCAUGAAGAGGUCGCCUCCAAAAUUUGAUUCACGGUGAUAAGUGGUGUCUGCAAAUGAAGGCAAAGCCAUGACCAGCUUGGGGUCUCGUCUGUCAGGCGAUAAUUGAGUGUCCACUGUGGCAGCUUCUGGCAUUCGGGUCAUACUAGUGUUGUUAAAGAGAGGAAAUUAAAUGCACUAACAAGAAACUCUCAAAGUACAACUCAAAGUACACCGAGGUUGUGACAGAAACUAGCAUUAAGGAAGCUCGGCAUUUACGUGGACCCCCCACCCACAGACUCAGAGGGCACCAAAGGAAGCAGAUCUGAAGACACCCCG